UAAAGUUGUUGCAGUUAAAAAGCCCGUAGUUGAAUUUCGGGGUCAGCAAGUUGGUCGUGCCACUGGUAUGUACUAGCUUUACUGAUUCCUCCUUCUUGCAGAACCGUAAUGCCAUUAAUUUGGUGUUGCGGGGAAACAGGACUGUUACUUUGAAAAAAUUAGAGUGUUUAAAGCAGGCUAACGCUUGAAUACAUUAGCAUGGAAUAAUGAAAUAGGACGUUCGAUCCUAUUUUGUUGGUUUCUAGGAUUGACGUAAUGAUUAAUAGGG
rnacentral:rRNA from 1 species